rnacentral:tRNA from 1 species
AGGGAUGUAGCUCAGUGGUAGAGCAUAUGCUUACCAUGCAUGAGGCCCUGGGUUCAGUUGCAGGGUGUGUUUG